rnacentral:rRNA from 1 species
GGUGGAGCGAUCUGUCUGGUUAAUUCCGAUAACGAACGAGACUCUAGCCUAUUAAAUAGUUCGACGAUCUUACCCUCGUCUCCGAAUAAGAGCGGGGGACCAACGGUCGGAGCAACUUCUUAGAGGGACAAGUGGCGUAUAGCCACGCGAGAUUGAGCAAUAACAGGUCUGUGAUGCCCUUAGAUGUCCGGGGCCGCACGCGCGCUACACUGAAGGAAUCAGCGUGGACUCUGCCCUGCUCCGAGAGGAGUGGGAAACCCGUUGAAUCUCCUUCGUGAUGGGGACUGGGGCUUGUAAUUGUUCCCCACGAACGAGGAAUUCCCAGUA